GACGAACGCUGGCGGCGUGCUUAACACAUGCGAGUCGAACGGAAAGGCCCUGCUUUUGUGGGGUGCUCGAGUGGCGAACGGGUGAGUAACACGUGAGUAACCUGCCCUUGACUUUGGGAUAACUUCAGGAAACUGGGGCUAAUACCGGAUAGGAGCUCCUGCUGCAUGGUGGGGGUUGGAAAGUUUCGGCGGUUGGGGAUGGACUCGCGGCUUAUCAGCCUGUUGGUGGGGUAGUGGCUUACCAAGGCUUUGACGGGUAGCCGGCCUGAGAGGGUGACCGGCCACAUUGGGGCUGAGAUACGGCCCAGACUCCUACGGGAGGCAGCAGUGGGGAAUAUUGCACAAUGGGCGGAAGCCUGAUGCAGCAACGCCGCGUGCGGGAUGACGGCCUUCGGGUUGUAAACCGCUUUCGCCUGUGACGAAGCGUGAGUGACGGUAAUGGGUAAAGAAGCACCGGCUAACUACGUG
rnacentral:rRNA from 1 species